UAAAAGGGAAGUGUUCAGAUAAAUUAAAUUAAAAAGUUAAAAUUUUCAAUUAAAUUUUAUAAAUAAAUUAGAUUGUAAAUAACCAUUUUACUUAACAAAAAGUUAAUAUCAACUACAAAAAUAAAAAUAUAUAUUUAUUUUAAUUUUUUUAUAUAAAUAUACUACUUUAUCCUUAGUAAAAAUAUAAAUAAAUAAAUAAAACUUAAACAUAAUUGAAAAAAAUAAAAAACCUAAUAACUAAAUUGAGAUUAACUCAAACCCAACUACAAAACUAAUCUUCGUCUUUCCCUACCCCCCAAAUCUCCUUCGUCUCCGUCUUCCCACUUCCCAGUGCCAUCUGCCGCCCAACCCCCCUCUCUCCCGCCCAAAAAUUUUCUUCGUCUCCCCACCCCCACACAAAUCUCAUUCGUCUCUGUUUUCCC
rnacentral:lncRNA from 1 species